GAUGAAAGAACGCAGCGAAAUGCGAUAAGUAAUGUGAAUUGCAGAAUUCAGUGAAUCAUCGAAUCUUUGAACGCACCUUGCACCCUUUGGCAUUCCGAAGGGUAUGCUCGUUUGAGUGUCAUUGUACUCUCACACUCUCCGAUCCUAUGGAUUCGGGGAGCGGUGGACUUGGGUGUUGCUGCCUUUCCUUGUGGCUCACCUCAAAUGUGUCAGUGCACCUCUUGGUUGGACAUAGUACGGCGUGAUAAGUGUCUUCGCCGGCACCUCGCAAGAGGGUGGCCGAUCGGGAGCUCUGUGCUUUCAAACCGUCUUCGGACAAUUUCUGACAACUUGACCUCAAAUCGAGUAGGACUACCCGCUGAACUUAAGCAUAUCAAUAAGCGGAGGA
rnacentral:misc_RNA from 1 species